rnacentral:tRNA from 1 species
GCCGGAGUGGUGGAACAGGCAGACACGCAGGGUUUAGGUCCCUGUGCCCCUCGGGGCGUGGGGGUUCGACUCCCCCCUUCGGCA